rnacentral:rRNA from 1 species
AACGAACGCUGGCGGCAUGCCUAACACAUGCAAGUCGAACGAGACCUUCGGGUCUAGUGGCGCACGGGUGCGUAACGCGUGGGAACCUGCCCUUAGGUUCGGAAUAACUCCCCGAAAGGGGUGCUAAUACCGGAUAAUGUCUUCGGACCAAAGAUUUAUCGCCUUUGGAUGGGCCCGCGUUGGAUUAGCUAGUUGGUAGGGUAAAAGCCUACCAAGGCGACGAUCCAUAGCUGGUCUGAGAGGAUGAUCAGCCACACUGGGACUGGGACACGGCCCAGACUCCUACGGGAGGGAGCAGUGGGGAAUAUUGGGAAAUGGGCGAAAGGCUGAUCCAGCAAUGCCGGGUGAGUGAUGAAGGCCUUAGGGUUGUAAAGCUCUUUUACCCGGGAUGAUAAUGACAGUACCGGGAGAAUAAGCGCCGGCUAACUCCGUG